GGACGGUGAAGAUCGAUAUUUGGUCUUGUUGUAACUGGCAUUUAGUUGCCUUGCCGAUCUUCCUGCUAUAUCACCAUCCAUAUCCUGAGUCC
rnacentral:snoRNA from 1 species